UAAGGCGGCCAGAGUGGUGAGGCAACACCCGUACCCAUCCCGAACACGGAAGUUAAGCUCACCCACGUGACGGCAAGUACUGGAGUGCGCGAGCCUCUGGAAACACCGCCUCGCCGCCUCCC
rnacentral:rRNA from 1 species